GGCCUGGAGGGGGCGGCCGCGGCCGCUGAUUCCCGGAUCCCGGCGCUGUCCGCGCCGCCGCCGCCGCCGAUCCCCGGCCGGGCCUGGCUGCGCCACCGCGGCACCAUGAAGGCGAUAAUCCAGCGGGUCACCCAGGCCAGCGUGACAGUGGGUGGGGAACAAAUAAGUUCCAUUGGACGAGGCAUCUGUGUGUUGCUGGGUAUUUCUUUGGAAGAUACGCACAAAGAGCUGGAACACAUGGUUCGCAAGAUUUUAAACUUGCGUGUGUUUGAAGACGAAAGCGGGAAACACUGGUCUAAAAGCGUGAUGGAUAAACAGUAUGAGGUGCUUUGUGUCAGCCAGUUUACUCUGCAGUGCAUCCUGAAAGGAAACAAACCAGACUAUCACAUGGCUAUGCCUGCAGAGCAAGCAGAGUCUUUCUACAACAACUUCCUAGAACAACUUAAAAAAGCCUACAAACCAGAGCUUAUUAAAGAUGGCAAGUUUGGAGCCUACAUGCAGGUAAACAUCCAGAAUGAUGGUCCUGUGACUAUAGAACUGGAAUCCCCUGCUGCCACGACGGACCCGAAGCAGCUGGCAAAGCUUGAAAAACAGCAGCAAAGGAAAGAGAAGACCAGAACCAAGGCACCCUCUGAAUCAAGUAGAGAAAGAAAUGCCCCUCGUAAUAAGGAGGACCCCAGUGCAAGCAGUGGGGCAGAGGGAGAUGUGUCUUCUGAAAGGGAACCUUGAUCCUCAAAAGCAGGCCUCAGCUGAAGAAUCAGAACCGUGUGUACCUGAAUCCAUUGUCCAGUUUGUCAUACAAAGGCUAUGUUGGAUCCUUAAGAAUUCACAGUUUACGUUAUCCUCAGCGUCGAUCUUAAAAGACUUUGGAAAAGAAAGAGAAGCAGGAAAACAGAACUAAGAAAUUGUGACUCUCCAUCAUUCUGUACUAAAAACAACCAAAGGAAUGUUAUCAGUUUCAGGUAAAAUGUAUUUGUAGUAGUGAAAAUGAUUCACAGCUUUUUUCUGUGUAUCUGCGUUUGUUUUCACAUGGUUAGUGAAUGAAGGGUGACUGUUUUCAUGCCGAUUGUAACAGAACAUAUGAUAACAGAGCACAUGAUCAGUUUCCAAAAAUAAAUUCAAUUUUCCUCAAAUUCUGACUUUAAUUCUGGAGAUAUCUCAAAGCAAGCUUGAAUUUUCAUUUUCGUUGUGUGGUGUCAUGUGCUUCCCGUUUCCAUAGCAAUGUGUAUAUCUGUGUACAUUACCAUAUAUUGUACAAUCUAUGUUUAACACCAGGUUUGGGAGUGCAGUCUUUUUUCAUGUAUCAUUGAUCAUUUAUCGUGAAAUACGUGUGUCUUAUAAAAAUUUUUUUUUAAAAAGAAAACACUUUAUGAAACAAAUUACGCUACCUUA